rnacentral:rRNA from 1 species
UGACGCCUACGGGAGGCAGCAGUGGGGAAUAUUGCACAAUGGGGGAAACCCUGAUGCAGCAACGCCGCGUGAGUGAAGAAGUAUUUCGGUAUGUAAAGCUCUAUCAGCAGGGAAGAGAAUGACGGUACCUGACUAAGAAGCCCCGGCUAACUACGUGCCAGCAGCCGCGGUAAUACGUAGGGGGCGAGCGUUAUCCGGAUUUACUGGGUGUAAAGGGAGCGUAGACGGCAGCGCAAGUCUGGAGUGAAAUGCCGGGUCCCAACCCCGGAACUGCUUUGGAAACUGUGCGGCUCGAGUGUGGGAGG